rnacentral:rRNA from 1 species
CCUACGGGUGGCUGCAGUGAGGAAUAUUGGUCAAUGGACGAGAGUCUGAACCAGCCAAGUAGCGUGAAGGAUGACUGCCCUAUGGGUUGUAAACUUCUUUUAUAUGGGAAUAAAACGAGCCACGUGUGGCUUUUUGUAUGUACUUUAUGAAUAAGGAUCGGCUAACUCCGUGCCAGCAGCCGCGGUAAUACGGAGGAUCCGAGCGUUAUCCGGAUUUAUUGGGUUUAAAGGGAGCGUAGAUGGGUUGUUAAGUCAGUUGUGAAAGUUUGCGGCUCAACCGUAAAAUUGCAAUUGAUACUGGCAGUCUUGAGUACAGUAGAGGUAGGCGGAAUUCGUGGUGUAGCGGUGAAAUGCUUAGAUAUCACGAAGAACUCCGAUUGCGAAGGCAGCUUACUAGACUGUGACUGACAUUGAGGCUCGAAAGUGUGGGUAUCAAACAGGAUUAGAUACCCCUGUAGUC